rnacentral:rRNA from 1 species
GACAGAGGGUGCAAACGUUGUUCGGAAUUACUGGGCGUAAAGCGUGUGUAGGCGGUCCACUAAGUCGGGUGUGAAAGCCCUGGGCUCAACCCAGGAAGUGCACUCGAAACUGGCGGGCUAGAGUAUCGGAGAGGUUGGUGGAAUUCUCGGUGUAGAGGUGAAAUUCGUAGAUAUUAGGAGGAACACCGGUGGCGAAGGCGGCUAUCUGGACGACAACUGACGCUGAGGCGCGAAAGCACGGGGAUCAAACAGG